GCGCCCCCGGCCCGGCUUAGCGCUGGGCUCUCGGGGCCCCAGGGAUCCCCGGCAGCCGCGCGCCGGGCCCCGGGCUCGGUGCCAGCGGGUGUGUCCAUCGUCCGCUCGCCGCCCCCGCCCCCACGCCGUGACUCCCGGCUCGCCCGGCUCCGUGGCGGCUCCGGAUAGACUCCCGGCGCGUGGCGGGGCUUCUGGGCCAUGGCCUCCCGGUUCUGAGAGUCCAGGGUUGAAGCAUCCGGACCGAAGGGAGCUUCCAUUCUGCUCCCUCAACACCUGAGGAAACUGGUGGAAAAGUUUGAGGAAGAGAAGUCCAAUCGUCUGCCAGCUUCCGCCCUUUCUGUGACACCACGGCCACGAGAAGGAGCAGGAAACGUCCACAUCUCCGGAGGACCACCGUGAGCCACGCCAAUCCUGUCUUCUUGCAUCUGCCCUGCCUCCCGGAGCAUGUGCGAACUUUUCUGUUUUCACAGACCUCCCUGGGCUGCCCAGACCACACAGGCCUGUCUGCCUGCUCUGACACUCCAGCUGCAGCCACUACCCAGCCAGCCCUCCCAAGGUCCACACUGACUGAGCCUUCCCCUCUCCCUGUGCGUGCUGUCUACGCAGACCCUAAGUGGAACACUAAGAGAAACUUUGGCUGAAGACCUGUGGCUACCGGCUGGGGGCUUUCUCAUCCCGACAGAACAUUUUUUUUUUCUUUGCCUGUCUUCCUUGGCUUACUAACUCUGCAGAACUUCUGAAGCUGCACUACACACUUUCUGUACCCAGGAGGAAGAACUCCUGAAUACAUGGCCAGUGGAAAGAUGAAUGUCAACAACAUGGCACAGAGGCUUCACUGCUGGAACCAGUGGUGACAAGGUGCUCAAGUCCUGCAGAGGUGGGCAGUGAGCAAGCGCUGCUCGGGCCCCCUGUGCUGGGUCAGUUAUUGCCGCACCUGAACAUCAGUGGCCUGGUUUACCCCAACGCAAAGGAAGAAAAGGUCCUAGGAGGACAGAGAAGAGGGAAGGAUUGAUACUCGGACUGAUCCCCAAGGAGUUCAGAGAGAAGGGUGGUGUAUCCCUUCUCACCUUGGGAACAGUACAUGGAGGUGAGAGUGUGCCCAGGCUUGGGCUUCAUGUGUCUGCAUUCUUGUGCUUCUCCUCUCUGCAUGAGAUCACCUGGAUGAGCCACAGUUGUAGAAGGGAGAGACUCAAGCAGCAGCCCGAACUCAUGCUUAGCUCAGUGCAGCCAACCCCAGAGAACCUGCAAAGCCCUGAUUGGAAAGAAAGGCUUUCACUGUGAGGCUCUGAGACUUGGGGGAUUAUGUCCUACAGAGCAUUAUCAUGGAAAAACU